rnacentral:lncRNA from 1 species
AAUCUUCAGCUUCUACUUCAAAUGUACACUUACAAAGCUCCUGUUUCCACAUAGUUGGCUGUUUCUCUUAGACUGGCAAAGAUUGAAAAGUUUGGCAAUAGCAAAAAACUUGCAAGUGCUUGGAAAAUAGGAAGCUCUAAAUGUACUCACAGAUUUUGACAUUAAUGACAAUAACCAUAAACAUUUUGACAUCUAUGAAAUAAGUCCCCAGAGCCAAAGGAGCCUGAAUUUUCAUGCCUUAGAAUGAAGGAGCAACCUGAAAUAACUGUAUUUUGAAUCAGUCUUUAAAAGUCAAAUAAUAAAUGACAGGGAAAGGGAUCAUAGCAUAUGUACUCUCCAUGGAAACUCUCUGCUCUUGAUUUCAUGAAGUUCCAAACAGGGGCAAACUGGCUAUAAGGAAGGAUGGCAGAGACAAGUACAGCAGUAAUGACAGAAAAUAUUAAUAAGCAUUCUGACCUCAGGGAAAGCAGCUACCCCAGAAGGAAGCAUAAUUCUGGAAGAAAUUAGGUUUCAAAAUUGUACCUGCAUGGCACUAAGUUGAGGAUGCCAAUUCCUCCUGUGUCCCUAAAUAUUCAGCCAGGAAAAACUGAAGCCUGUAUUCACUUUGCAAUUAUAUGCUUUCUUGCCUGAAAAUCAUGGUAGCAGUGACAUGAACAGGAGACAGGGAAAUACUGGGUAGAAGAGGGUGGUUUCCCAGUAAAGGCCCAAUUGUCAAGCCUGAAGACCCACGGCCCUUUUGAGGACAGGCAUUUCUGUUUUUGUGCCCAAAAAGUUGCUUUUUGGUCUUCUACACACCCUAUCCUGCCGCCAUAUAAACUGGAGACCUUAGCGGGCACACACCAGCAGCUGGACAUUGGAACCAGUAGCCCAGCGAAAACAGAACAACGCAGAAGACAAAGAGAGAAGAGGAAGGACGUCUGGACACCAAGGGGAUUUUAGGCAGUGGUGGUUGGAGAACAGUCUGGCCGCUGGGCAACCCAACACCAGGGAAAGACCAUCUUCCCACUCCAUCUCCUCACUUCUGGCUCCCCAUCCAUCUCACUGAUAACUGCCUCCACUACUCAGUAAAACCUUGCACUCAUCCUUCCAGCCUAUGUUUGAUCUGAUUCUUCCAGUACACUGGGCAAGAACUCAGGAUACAGAAGGUUAUCACACUAUCCCACUGCCCUUGUGAUAAGACAGAGGGAAUACUGAGCUGAUUAGCACAAACAGUUUGCAGAUG